rnacentral:rRNA from 1 species
GGAGUCUAACAUCUAUGCGAGUGUUUGGGUGUCAAGCCCAGACGCGUAAUGAAAGUGAACGGAGGUGGGAACCCGCAAGGGUGCACCAUCGACCGAUCCUGAUGUCUUCGGAUGGAUUUGAGUAAGAGCAUAGCUGUUGGGACCCGAAAGAUGGUGAACUAUGCCUGAAUAGGGUGAAGCCGGAGGAAACUCCGGUGGAGGCUCGUAGCGGUACUGACGUGCAAAUCGUUCGUCAAAUUUGGGUAUAGGGGCGAAAGACUAAUCGAACUAUCUAGUAGCUGGUUCCCUCCGAAGUUUCCCUCAGGAUAGCUGGAGCUCACGCGCGAGUUUUAUCGGGUAAAGCAAAUGAUUAGAGGCAUCGGGGGCGUAACGCCCUCGACCUAUUCUCAAACUUUAAAUAGGUAAGAGGUCCUUGCCACUUGAUUGGGCAUGGGCAUUGAAUUGGAGCUCCAAGUGGGCCAUUUUUGGUAAGCAGAACUGGCGAUGCGGGAUGAACCGAAAGUUUUGUUAAGGUGUUUAACUGUCGGCUCAUGUAGACCCCACAAAGGGUGUUGGUUCAUAUAAACAGCAGGACGGUGGCCAUGGAAGUCGGAAUCCGCUAAGGAGUGUGUAACAACUCACCUGCCGAAUGGACUAGCCCCGAAAAUGGAUAACGCUCAAGCCGACGACCUAUACAAGACCGUUGGCCCAAAUGCGAUGGGCCAGCGAGUAGGAGGGCGUGGGGAUCGUGAAGCAGCUUUGGACGUGAGUCUGAGUGAAACGGUCCCUAGUGCAGAUCUUGGUGGUAGUAGCAAAUA